GAUGAACGCUGGCGGCGUGCCUAAUACAUGCAAGUCGAGCGAACAGACGAGGAGCUUGCUCCUCUGACGUUAGCGGCGGACGGGUGAGUAACACGUGGAUAACCUACCUAUAAGACUGGGAUAACUUCGGGAAACCGGAGCUAAUACCGGAUAAUAUAUUGAACCGCAUGGUUCAAUAGUGAAAGACGGUUUUGCUGUCACUGAUAGAUGGAUCCGCCCCGCAUUAGCUAGUUGGUAAGGUAACGGCUUACCAAGGCAACGAUGCGUAGCCGACCUGAGAGGGUGGUCGGCCACACUGGAACUGAGACACGGUCCAGACUCCUACGGGAGGCAGCAGUAGGGAAUCUUCCGCAAUGGGCGAAAGCCUGACGGAGCAACGCCGCGUGAGUGAUGAAGGUCUUCGGAUCGUAAAACUCUGUUAUUAGGGAAGAACAAAUGUGUAAGUAACUAUGCACGUCUUGACGGUACCUAAUCAGAAAGCCACGGCUAACUACGUG
rnacentral:rRNA from 1 species